AACAUCGCCUCCUGCAAAACUCAACAUAUAGGAGGUCCUACCUGCCCAGUGACUUUGUUAAAUGGCCGCGGUAUUUUGACCGUGCUAAGGUAGCGCAAUCACUUGUCUUUUAAAUGAAGACCUGUAUGAAAGGUGUGACGAGGGCUUAACUGUCUCCCUUCUCUGGUCAAUGAAAUUGAUCUGCCCGUGCAGAAGCGGACAUACAUAUACAAGACGAGAAGACCCUGUGGAGCUUAAGACAACAGAUUAACCGUGUCAAUAAUUCACAUAAAAUGGAACUAAACAAAACGGCAACUAAUCAACGUCUUCGGUUGGGGCGACCACGGGGGAAAACCAAGCCCCCAUGCGGACUGGGAAUAUUCCUAAAACCAAGAGAGACAUCUCUAAGUCACAGAACAUCUGACCAUUUUGAUCCGGUCUACUAGACCGAUCAACGAACCAAGUUACCCCAGGGAUAACAGCGCAAUCCUCUUUAAGAGUUCAUAUCGACAAGGGGGUUUACGACCUCGAUGUUGGAUCAGGACAUCCUAAUGGUGCAGCCGCUAUUAAGGGUGCGUUUGUUCAACGAUUAAAGUCCUACGUGA
rnacentral:rRNA from 1 species